CUAAGCCAUGCAAGUGAAAGGAAUUUAGUUCCUUCGCGAAUCGCUCAGUAACACGUCGAUAAUCUACCCUUAUGCUCGGACUAAGCUCGGGAAACUGAGUAUAAUGCCGAAUGGGUGAUAAGAUCUGGAAUGUCUUAUCACUUAAAGUUUUAACGUAUAAGGAUGAGUUGGCGGCUGAUUAGGUAGUUGGCGGGGUAACGGCCCACCAAGCCAAAGAUCAGUAGGGGCCUUGAGAGAGGUAUCCCCGAGAGGGUCACUGAGAAACUGGACCCAGCCCUACGGGGUGCAGCAGGCGCGAAACCUCUUCAAUGCACGACAGUGUGAAAGGGGGAUCCUACGUGCUCAUGUUAUACAUGGGCUUUUGCAUAGUGUACAAAGCUAUGCGAAUAAGGGGUGGGAAAGACCGGUGCCAGCAGCCGCGGUAACACCGGCGCCCCAAGUGGCAAUCGCAAUUACUGGGCCUAAAGCAUCCGUAGCCUGGUUUGUAAGUCUUCUGUGAAAUCUCUCAGCUCAACUGAGAGGCGGGCAGAGGAAACUACAUACCUAGAAACCGGGAGGAGUCGAAGGUAUACUGAGGGGAGCGGUAAAAUGUGAUAAUCCUCGGUAGACCACCAAUGGCGAAAGCAUUCGACUAGAACGGAUUUGACGGUGAGGGAUGAAGGCUAGGGGAGCAAAACGGAUUAGAUACCCGAGUAGUCCUAGCUGUAAACUCUGCGUGCAAGGUGUUGCAUAUUCUCGUGAAUGUGCAGUAUCGAAGGGAAGUCGUUAAGCACGCCGCCUGGGAAGUACGGUCGCAAGACUGAAACUUAAAGGAAUUGGCGGGGGAGCGCCACAAGGGGUGCGGCGUGCGGUUUAAUCUAACUCAACGCAGAAAAUCUCACCAGGGGCGACAGCAAGAUGAAGAUCAGUCUAAAGGGCUUAUCAGAUGAGCUGAGAGGUAGUGCAUGGCCAUCGUCAGCUCGUGCCGUAAGGUGUCCUGUUAAGUCAGGCAACGAGCGAGACCUGUAUCCACAAUUGCCAGCGAUAUCUUCGGAUAGAUCGGGAACAUUGUGGGGACUGCCCGUGAAAACGGGAGGAAGGUGCAGGCUACGGUAGGUCUGUAUGCUCCGAAUCUCCUGGGCUACACGCGCGCAACAAUGGUAUGGACAAUGGGCUACUACUCCGAAAGGAGGCGUUAAUCCUCGAAACCAUACCCAAGUACAGAUUGUGGAUUGUAACUCAUCCACAUGACGCUGGAUCCCUAGUAAUCGGAAGUCAUCAUCUUUCGGUGA
rnacentral:rRNA from 1 species